UGUUAAAUACCUGUCAUAAAGCUAGAUAACCGAAAGUAGAAAUGACUUCCAUGGCGGUGUUUCCAGUCCAGAGAGCAAAGAGUGGCUCCUCAACUGGAUUUGAACUUAAAGCAAACAAAUAAAUAAAUAAAAAAGAUUUGGGAUUCCUAAACAGAAAAAAAUGAAGAGACGGUGUAAAAAGCGGUCGGUCUGGAUUUGCCGGCUCCUCUCGCCCUCACCCACUUUACCCAGGAGCCCCUGAUGCCAUCUGCAUUGGCAGUGGGGAAGUUCGUCCUGUGCCAGGAGGCAGACAAAGACCCUUCCCACGUCCCUGGAGUAUGGGCGCGCUCAAAGGAGCCAUCUUGGGAGAUGUUUUCUGCGACACCUAAAAUGGCUGGGCUGGCACUCGAGGGUUUCACAGCCACUUCUCAACCCUCUCACCUGGGAUCUCAAGGACCAAACUCAAAAGAUUAUGAGAUUAUUAUGUUGAUUAUCUACUGCUGUUUUAUUCUGAAUGUACAACUCUGGAUGUGUCUUUGAGGAAUUUGUAGCUAAGAUUGAAAGGUUUAUUUAGGCAAAGACUGUGUGUUAAUAAGAGCUUUACAGUAAAUAUUCCUUAUGUUUACCCUCAAUAAGAUGUGUAAUUUUUUGAUUUUUUUCAAAUCAUCUUUUGUUUGUUAACUUUAUCUUCUUGUACAGUAAAAGUGUGAUGAUAUUUGA